rnacentral:misc_RNA from 1 species
CAUUGUUUAUAUUUACUAUUUAGUUAAAAACAUAAAGCUUAAAAAAUUUUUAUAUUUAAUACAAGUAUACAAUUAGUGUAUUGAGAUAAAGAAAAAAUUAAACAAAACUUGGUAAUAGUGAAUAACAAAUUUUAAUGUUAUCAAAUAUGAGUGAGGUCAGAAAAAAACGUAAAUUAAAGCCGAAAAAUCGGUUUUAUAAAAAACGUAAGAUUACAAGUAAAACAUCAACACCUUCUUUUAACAAAAAGAAUGAUGAGAUAUACUAUGAGAAUCAUGAUCAUUCAAUAAUUGAUUGUGUUAAUGACGAUUGUCUGGCUGAAAUAUUCAUGUAUGUGCCAGUAUGGGAAAGACCUAAAAUUGCAUUGGUAUGUCAAAAAUGGAAAAGAGUCCUUGAUUAUUCUUGGGGUAGUAGCAAAAAACUUCAACUAACUCACUGGGAACAAGCUGAGCUGUAUCCAAAUUGUUUGAAGAAAUAUCCAACACCUGAUGAAAAAUUAAGCUUUCUGAAUUCAUUGCUUUAUAAAUGUGGUCGUUAUUUAACUCAAUUAGACUUGACAGCGUAUGGUUAUAGUGACAUUGUGCCAGUUAUUAAUGAAUAUUGUCCAAACCUCGUCAAACUUCGAUUGAGAUUCGUCUUUGAUAACGAUAAAAUGCUAUUUUAUGAUGUAUUUUCACGUCUAUCUAAGCUCAAAGUAUUAGCAGUUAUAUUUCAAUAUCAUCUGAGACACCAUUCUAAGCUUCAUUAUUUAAUGUUUGCAUUGGAAUCCCUUGCUGAUACAUUGACUGAUCUGACUCUGUUCAAUUGGGAAGGUGACGAACCCGGUACACCUAAAUUUCUUUAUAGUAGACCCUGUAUAUUUCCGGAGAGCACCCUUGGUGUGCUUCGUCGGCAAAAGGCUCUGAAAAGAUUUGAAUUUGGUGGUAUUCAAAUGUUCCCAGAGUUAGAAGAGUAUCUGAAAAAUAAUCACUCACUAGAAGUUAUUUCUUAUGAUCAUUACGUAAACAAAGAUGUUAUUAAGCCAAAUGAGCUAAUGAGUAUAACUACAUUGAAUUUGUUGAGAUACAAAGUUUCAGAUGAUAGUUUGUAUACUAUUGUCAAUACCAUGAAGCAAUUAACAAAGCUCAAGAUAAAUUGUGAAUGGAUAACUAACGAUGGUGUAGUAGCCAUUUCAAAGAUGAAUAAUUUAAAACUUCUUUGUUUUUCCGGCUGUAAUGACAGCAUCGAUUCUUCAUCAAUUAAAUGGCUAAAAAACUUGAUAAGAUUAAUGUUACCAUGGAGCAAAAAAAUUGAUGAUGAUUUAGCCACGAAAGUUCUUGAAAAUUCACCAAAAAUGGAGAAGCUUUUUGUUCCGGACACAAGUGUAACUGUUGAAUUUAUCAAAAAAGCAGCAGAAAUAUCAAGAAAUCGAAAACGACGUUUGACUUCAGCUGUUUCUUUUAUAAUUGAUAAAGAAACAUAUGAGACGCCAUAUUUCAAAAUUAUUUAUGAACCAAAAAAAAACAAAUAAUUGACUAACUUUGAUGAUUAUUCUUGAAGUUGAUGGAAAAGAGUUAAAAGCUCAUAUGAUGAUAUUGUCUAUUGAUAGUCCAGUAUUUACGGCAAUGUUUGAUCAUAAAUCCAUAAAUGGUGAAAACCGACCCUAGGUUCACGCUGGCUUCGUGUGGCUCAUAUAUAACAUACAUAUAUGCCAUAUGGUGCGGCUAAUGUCAGCUGUUAAUUGACGUUGAUUUUUGGUUAUGUUUUCUAUUUAGUAAAAAAAAAACAUAAUAAAGCUUCGAAAAUACAAUUAAUGUACUUAUUGAGAUAGAAAAAAAAUUAAACAAAACUUGGUAAUAGUGAAUAACAAAUUUUGACGUUAUCAAAUAUGAGAAAAAAACGUAGAUUAGAGUCGGAAUACCUGUCCUCUAAAAAAAAUCAGGCUACAAGUAAAACAUCAACACCUUCCUUCAACAAAAAGAAAAAUGAAAUAUACUAUGAGAAUCAUGAUCAUUCAAUAAUUGAUUGUGUUAAUGACGAUUGUCUGGCUGAAAUAUUCAUGUAUGUGCCAGCAUGGGAAAGACCUAAAAUUGCAUUGGUAUGUCAAAAAUGGAAAAGAGUCCUUAAUUAUUCUUGGGGUAGUAGCAAAAAACUUCAACUAACUCACUGGGAACAAGCUGAGUAUCCAAAUUGUUUGAAGAAAUAUCCAACACCUGAUGAAAAAUUAAGCUUUCUAAAUUCAUUGCUUUAUAAAUGUGGUCGUUAUUUAACUCAAUUAGACUUGACAGCGUAUGGUUAUAGUGACAUUGUGCCAGUUAUUAAUGAACAUUGUCCAAACCUCGUCAAACUUCGAUUGAGAUUUGUCUUUGAUUACGAUAAAAUGCUAUUUUGGGAUGUAUUUUCACGUCUAUCUAAGCUCAAAGUAUUAGCAGUUAUAUUUCAAUAUCAUGUGAAACACCAUUCUAAGCUUCUUUAUUUAAUCAUUGCAUUGGAAUCUCUUGCUAAUACAUUGACUGAUCUGACUCUGUUCAAUUGGCAAGGUGACGAUCCCUGCAGUACACCUAAUACACUUCCUUUUAGUAUACCCUGUGAAUUUCCGCUGAGCACCCUUGGUGUGCUUCGUCGACAAAAGGCUCUGAAAAGAUUUGAAUUUGGUGGUAUUGAAAUGUUCCCGAAGUUAGAAAAAUAUCUGAGAAAUAAUCGCACACUAGAAGUUAUUUCUUAUGAUCAUUACAUAAACAAAGAUGUUAUUGAGCCAAAUGAGUUAAUGAGUAUAACUACAUUGGAUUUGUUGAGAUACAAAGUUUCAGAUGAUCGUUUGUAUACUAUUGCCAAUACUAUGAAGCAAUUAACAAAGCUCAAGAUAAAUUGUGAAUGGAUAACUAACGAUGGUGUAGUAGCUAUUUCAAAGAUGAAUAAUUUAACAUUUCUUUGUUUUUUCGGCUAUAAUGACAGCAUUGAUUCUUCAUCAAUCAUAUUGCUUAAAAAUUUGAUUUACUUGAUGUUACCAUUCAGCAAAAAAAUUAAUGAUGAUUUAGCCACGAAAGUUCUUGAGAAUUCACCAAAGAUAGAGAAGCUUUUUGUUCCGCACACAAGUGUAACUGUUGAAUUUAUCAAAAAAGCAGCAGAAAUAUCAAGAAAUCGAAAACGACGUUUGACUUCAGCUGUUUCUUUUAUAAUUGAUAAAGAAACAUAUGAGUCGCCAUAUUUCAAAAUUAUUUAAGCACUAAAAAAAAACAAAUAAUUGACUAAUUUUGGUGAUUAUUUUACGGGGCUGAAGUUGGCGGCCUAAUCAGGGACGAAUAGGGUGCCGGGGCCCCGCUUAUGAAAACUUCAGAAAAAUUAAGUAAAAUUAAUAAAAUUUCGUGAGUAAAUACUUAAAAGCAUAAAAAAAAAUCCUUAAUAAUCUUUCAACACCCUUUAAAUAACACUUAGGGGUGGAAAAUCCACUGAGUUAUCAUUUUUCCCGGUUAUUAUUUGUUAAUUGACUACUACUUAUAGGUACCUCUUCUUUUUCAUUGCAAUUUGAGAACAGUUAUAAAAUACGAGUUUAAUAGUUUUUUGAAGCUUCCCCGGGUAGUACUAAGGGGUUGGAAAAAUUAAAAACCUAUUUUUUACACUAUGAUGAAGUUUUAUUAAAAACAAAAAAAUAUCUAUAGCUACCUCUUUAUUUUUACGGCAAAUCAAAGUAGGUGUAAAUAAUUAA